CCUACGGGUGGCAGCAGUGAGGAAUAUUGGUCAAUGGGCGCGAGCCUGAACCAGCCAAGUAGCGUGAAGGAUGACUGCCCUACGGGUUGUAAACUUCUUUUAUAAAGGAAUAAAGUGAGGCACGUGUGCCUUUUUGUAUGUACUUUAUGAAUAAGGAUCGGCUAACUCCGUGCCAGCAGCCGCGGUAAUACGGAGGAUCCGAGCGUUAUCCGGUUUUAUUGGGUUUAAGGGGAGCGUAGAUGGGUUGUUAAGUAAGGUGUGAAAGUUUGCGGCUUAACCGUAAAAUUGCAAUUGAUACUGGCAGCCUUGAGUACAGUUGAUGUAGGCGGAAUUCGUGGUGUAGCGGUGAAAUGCUUAGAUGUCACGAAGAACUCCGAUUGCGAAGGCAGCUUACUAAACUGCCACUGACAUUGAUGCUCGAAAGUGUGGGUAUCAAACAGUCGUAGCUACCCUGUAGUC
rnacentral:rRNA from 1 species